rnacentral:rRNA from 1 species
GAUGAACGCUAGCGGCAGGCUUAAUACAUGCAAGACGAACGGUAAGUGUUGUAGCAAUAUAGCACGAGAGUGUCGUACGGGUGCGUAACACGUAUGCAACCUACCUUGUACAGGAGGAUAGCUCGGGGAAACUCGAAUUAACCCUCCAUAAUAUAUUUGAAUGGCAUCAUUUGAAUAUUAAAACCUUGGUGGUACAAGAUGGGCAUGCGUCUGAUUAGAGUUGGUAGUGUAAUGGACUACCAAGACGAUGAUCAGUAGGGGACCUGAGAGGGUGAUCCCCCACACUGGCACUGAGAUACGGGCCAGACUCCUACGGGAGGCAGCAGUAGGGAAUAUUGGUCAAUGGGUGCAAGCCUAGAACCAGCCAUGCCGCGUGCAGGGAAGAAGGCGUUAUGCGUU